AUUUCGUGAUGUAUGUGCUACCCUCCUUGGCGUUGGCUUUUCCCCUGACUCUUUAACUUGUUGGAGAGGCUGAUGGUUCCUGGAGUGUCGGUUUGAUUACUUUUCCUGAUUUUCAGUCGUAGGGAGCGUUUGAGUUUUGUGGAUUUUAUGCGCUGCCAUCACUUGUAUUAUAUAAAAUAUUUUGCAAAUGAAGAUCAUUGUGGAUAUUACUGACAAAUACCUAUUUUAAGAUGACUCUUUCAAUUUAUCAGGUCUGAGACAUGCAUAUUAUUAAAAGGGUGAGUUUUCUGACCUUGGAAGCCUAUAGUUGUUCAUAUUCUGUGAUUUGUUUUAUCAUCAGAAUUGUGUAAUUCAUUCUUGAAUUUCCCUAUAGGUUCUUGUUUUCUAUGAUAUAUUCUCUAGAGGUUCUUGUUCUGCGUCUAGACAAAAAUGAUUUAUGUCGGGCUUCAUUGGUUACAACAUGUUCACGAAUGCGCCCUACUCCACAUGAUUGCUUAGUGAUUAAUAUGAUGAUUUUGGUGAUGUUGUUGAUCUGCUUCACAUUCCGUUUGUCAGAACCCAACUCAUCUCCUACAUUGUCUCCCCUUUAUUGACCUCUUCCUGACCAGAGUACCCCCGUAGCAUCUUAUGAGCAUCGGCUCUAUCCUGCCACCUUGGAGCUCACUGUUGGCUUGCAGGAUGUCGUUGCAAGAUGAUGAUCGACUCUGAGAUGGGAUGCAGGAAUUAUUCAUCGGUUUUUUCGGUUCCAAGAAAGUUAAAUUCUUUCACAAAAUCCAAUCAUGUUUUUUUGGCCUCUUAUGACCAUGAUUUGUGUUUCUGGUUUCUUAUGUCCAUUCUAAUGUAGGGAAAACCAGCUUUUGAAAACUUUCUGAACUUCUCAUGUUUGAUUGUAUGGCAUUAUUUGGUAUGUUUUGUGGUUCAAGGCAACAUUGUUGGUCAUAUAUUCUAUAUGUUGGAUGAAUUUCUCGUGGUGUCAGCGGAACUUUCAUAUUAGCAUUUCGAUUGAAAAAAUAUCUUAUUUUCUGUUUUUCGUGGUAGUGGUCACAACUUCUGUCAUCAAUGAAUAUUGCAGUCUGUAGUUCAGAAUCAAGUUACGAACCAGCAGGUGAAGUGUUGCAAGGCAAUGAUGGGGCAUCAACAUUACUGACGAGAAUUAAAGAGCUCAAAUUCAGAGCAUCAUUUUUCUCCUUGGUGGUGGAGAGGAGUUAGCCAGCUGGAGCAAGAUCAAUAGUCCCAAACAUACGUUGUCUAAUGCAAUAUGCUUGGUCUGAACAAGUUACCCCCUAUUCUUUCUCAUGUGUAAAUAUAUGAGAGGAGUGAUUCUAAUUUGAAAAUAUGGUUUGAAUGGUAGAAACAUCGGUGCCGGCUAAUUGGGUCUAUUAAACUUGUUAUCUGUCUUAUUUGCACCAAUGUUUUCUUGUAUACAUAGUAGCAUCCUUUUCCUGAUAGGGUUAUGCCUUAAGUAGCAAUUUUGCAGAGCGUAAACCCCUUGUUGAGACACAAGUAACCACGAACCUCAAUGUGCAGUGUGCACUUAAUUUCUUGAAUAAAGCAUGCGCGAUGUUACCAAUUAGCUUGUCUUUAGUAGAACAAUAAUGCAAUGGUUCCGCUUCAUGUCCUUGACAUCCUCUGGAAACAACCCAUAUUUAUUUACUUGGUCAAUUAUUGUUUAGUGGCGGUCAGGAAAUAGUGAAGGAUUUGGUUCCACCUUUAGAUUGCUUGAUGCAGGAGGUCGGGGAGAGAGGGGUUGGUGCAGGAGAGUGUGGGGUGCUGAGGUCGCGACGCGACGACAACUCGACACCCGAACGAUGGCAACGCGUCGCUCCUCCUCCUUGUGUGUGCCAGAUGUGUAUCUCGAGGGGCCCGAUGCACACAGACCAAAAAGUGUACGUUUAUGUCUACAUGGAUAAAAAAUUAUCUCUAGCGGCCUGGUAAAGUGAUCGUGCGUCCGUUCGGAUGCAAAUAUGGAUGAAAUUUGCGUCCCAAAUGCGUUAUUUGGUCCAUCAAGUAUUCAUGUUUUUUCAUGAAAUUCCGUGUAAGAUGAGUGCUAGAAUUGUUGUUCCAUGUUUCUUGAUGGCGAAGCGCCCGUCUCUACCGCAGGUUCCUUGGUAGAUGCAAGAAUGACACAAUACUAGGUUUAACUGAUUCUCCUGUGUUUGUUUUCUCUAAAGCUUACAAACUCUUGGUUUGGCUUGUACUUGUCAUAUAUGGUUCCCUUUUUUUCGUAGCCUUCUGCAUCUUUUAGGAGUUCUGCACAUAGUUUCUAAUGUAGUUUAUUGUGAUUUAUACCACAUAUUAAAGGCAUCAUAAUAUUGUUGUGUCAAACUCAUAUUACCUACACAUUUUCAAUUCUUUUAUAACUUUUUGUAGGAUUUUUUUAUAUGCAUACAAAAGAUUGACCAAAUUUCUACGUAGUCAUUUCACUACACAGAAACCCCCUGGCUAUGCUUCUCAACAUAUUUCUUGUGUUUAAUCUACCGGAUAGAAUAAACCAGCAAAGAACUUCUUGCUUCAGAGCCAACAAUUUAGCUUUAGCCUUUGUUACCCCGUAACGUCCUAUAGACUACGAGGUGUAAUCAUCAUCGCCAAGCAUGUGAUCGUAACCUCUGGUGAUGCGCUCUAAUCCUAGCCUUUGUGUAAUAAAUAAUGAAUGCCAUCGUUGUGAAUCGUGUGUGGGCUCCUCUACGCAUCAUAACUAUAUGUUGAUAGCUAUUGUAUUGUAUUGUCUUCCAUAUUAGAACCAUAUGCUCAUUACUGUUGUAAUAUAAUUCCCUAUUUUGAUGAUGUAUGUAACUAUUAUGUAGAUAUUAAUAUUGAUAUUCUUACCUUCUAUAUUGCUUAGAAAAACACUAUUAGUUGUUGUAUAAUCAUCU